GAUGAAGAACGUAGCGAAAUGCGAUAAGUAGUGUGAAUUGCAGAAUUCAGUGAAUCAUCGAAUCUUUGAACGCACAUUGCGCCUUCUAGUAUUCUGGGAGGCAUGCCUGUUUGAGCGUCAUUAAACCUCUCUCAAGUAUGAUUACUUGGAUGUGAAGGAAGAGUACCUUAAACUUAAGGAGUGUUCUCCUUUGAAAUUGAUUAGCAGAUGGUAAUGUUAUUAAAUCCCUGAUGUUGUAAGAAAUAACAGUGGUUUUGUAGACUAUUAUCUAGCUUUAAAUUAUAAUUUUUAUUAUGGUUGACCUCAAAUCAGGUAAGGAUACCCGCUGAACUUAAGCAUAUCAAUAAGCGAGGA
rnacentral:misc_RNA from 1 species